rnacentral:rRNA from 1 species
GAUGAACGCUUGCGACAGGCUUAACACAUGCAAGUCGAGGGGCAGCACAGGUAUUAAUACCGGGUGGCGACCGGCGCACGGGUGAGUAACGCGUAUGCAACUUACCUAUCAGAGGGGGAUAACCCGGCGAAAGUCGGACUAAUACCGCAUGAAGCAGGGGCCCCGCAUGGGGAUAUUUGCUAAAGAUUCAUCGCUGAUAGAUAGGCAUGCGUUCCAUUAGGCAGUUGGCGGGGUAACGGCCCACCAAACCGACGAUGGAUAGGGGUUCUGAGAGGAAGGUCCCCCACAUUGGUACUGAGACACGGACCAAACUCCUACGGGAGGCAGCAGUGAGGAAUAUUGGUCAAUGGCCGAGAGGCUGAACCAGCCAAGUCGCGUGAGGGAUGAAGGUUCUAUGGAUCGUAAACCUCUUUUAUAAGGGAAUAAAGUGCGGGACGUGUCCCGUUUUGUAUGUACCUUAUGAAUAAGGAUCGGCUAACUCCGUGCCAGCAGCCGCGGUAAUACGGAGGAUCCGAGCGUUAUCCGGAUUUAUUGGGUUUAAAGGGUGCGUAGGCGGCCUUUUAAGUCAGCGGUGAAAGUCUGUGGCUCAACCAUAGAAUUGCCGUUGAAACUGGGGGGCUUGAGUAUGUUUGAGGCAGGCGGAAUGCGUGGUGUAGCGGUGAAAUGCAUAGAUAUCACGCAGAACCCCGAUUGCGAAGGCAGCCUGCCAAGCCAUUACUGACGCUGAUGCACGAAAGCGUGGGGAUCAAACAGGAUUAGAUACCCUGGUAGUCCACGCAGUAAACGAUGAUCACUAGCUGUUUGCGAUACACUGUAAGCGGCACAGCGAAAGCGUUAAGUGAUCCACCUGGGGAGUACGCCGGCAACGGUGAAACUCAAAGGAAUUGACGGGGGCCCGCACAAGCGGAGGAACAUGUGGUUUAAUUCGAUGAUACGCGAGGAACCUUACCCGGGUUUGAACGCAUUCGGACCGAGGUGGAAACACCUUUUCUAGCAAUAGCCGUUUGCGAGGUGCUGCAUGGUUGUCGUCAGCUCGUGCCGUGAGGUGUCGGCUUAAGUGCCAUAACGAGCGCAACCCUUGCCACUAGUUACUAACAGGUAAAGCUGAGGACUCUGGUGGGACUGCCAGCGUAAGCUGCGAGGAAGGCGGGGAUGACGUCAAAUCAGCACGGCCCUUACAUCCGGGGCGACACACGUGUUACAAUGGCGUGGACAAAGGGAAGCCACCUGGCGACAGGGAGCGAAUCCCCAAACCACGUCUCAGUUCGGAUCGGAGUCUGCAACCCGACUCCGUGAAGCUGGAUUCGCUAGUAAUCGCGCAUCAGCCAUGGCGCGGUGAAUACGUUCCCGGGCCUUGUACACACCGCCCGUCAAGCCAUGGGAGCCGGGGGUACCUGAAGUCCGUAACCGCGAGGAUCGGCCUAGGGUAAAACUGGUGACUGGGGCUAAGUCAUA